UACGUAGGGUGCAAGCGUUGCCCGGAUUUAUUGGGCGUAAAGGGCGCGUAGGCGGCUCGGCACGUCCGUUGUGGAAAUCGCCCGGCUCAACUGGGCGGGGUCGGCGGAUACGGCCGAGCUGGAGCAAGCUAGGGGGUAAUGGAAUUCCCGGUGUAGUGGUGGAAUGCGUAGAUAUCGGGAGGAACACCAGUGGCGAAGGCGGUUACCUGGAGCUUUGCUGACGCUGAUGCGCGAAAGCGUGGGGAGCGAUCCGG
rnacentral:rRNA from 1 species